rnacentral:rRNA from 1 species
AUUGAACGCUGGCGGCAGGCCUAACACAUGCAAGUCGAGCGAGCGGCGGACGGGUGAGUAAUGUCUGGGAAACUGCCUGAUGUAGGGGGAUAACUACUGGAAACGGUAGCUAAUACCGCAUACCAUCAGAUGUGCCCAGGUGGGAUUAGCUAGGAGGUGGGGUAACGGCUCACCUAGGCGACGAUCCCUAGCUGGUCUGAGAGGAAGACCAGCCACACUGGAGGUGAGAGACGGUCCAUGCGCCUACGGGAGGCAGAGGGGGGGAAUAUGGCACAAUGGGCGCAAGCCUGGUGCAGCCAUGCCGCGUGUGUGAGGAAGGCCUGCGGGUUGUAAAGCACGUUCAGGGGGGAGGCGUUUCCAGCAGAAGAAGCACCGGCUAACUCCGUGCCAGCAGCCGCGGUAAUAC